AUUGAACGCUGGCGGCAUGCUUUACACAUGCAAGUCGAACGGCAGCGCGGGGCAACCUGGCGGCGAGUGGCGAACGGGUGAGUAAUACAUCGGAACGUACCCAGAAGUGGGGGAUACCGUGGCGAAAGUUACGCUAAUACCGCAAACGUUCUACGGAAGAAAGUGGGGGAUCGCAAGACCUAAUGCUUUUGGAGCGGCCGAGGUCUGAUUAGCUAGUUGGUGAGGUAAAGGCUCACCAAGGCGACGAUCAGUAGCUGGUCUGAGAGGACGACCAGCCACACUGGGACUGAGACACGGCCCAGACUCCUACGGGAGGCAGCAGUGGGGAAUUUUGGACAAUGGGCGCAAGCCUGAUCCAGCAAUGCCGCGUGAGUGAAGAAGGCCUUCGGGUUGUAAAGCUCUUUUGUCAGGGAAGAAACGGCUGAGGUUAAUACCUUUGGCUAAUGACGGUACCUGAAGAAUAAGCACCGGCUAACUACGUGCCAGCAGCCGCGGUAA
rnacentral:rRNA from 1 species